AUGCGGGCGGUUCGCCGCUCGUGACUCUGCGAGAAGUCCAUUGAACCUUAUCAUUUAGAGGAAGGAGAAGUCGUAACAAGGUUUCCGUAGGUGAACCUGCGGAAGGAUCAUUGUCGAGACCGAAACAUAUCGAGCGAUUCAGAGAACCUGUGAACGAGCGGCGGCGCCAGUCGUCGUGCAUUUGCUGUCUCCGUCGUUAGCAUCGUAAAUGGUGCCACGAUGAGAGGCGGAAGAAAACUAAAACCGGCGCAGCUACGCGCCAAGGAAAUAAAAAUUAGACACGAGCCUGUAUCGGGUUCGGUGGCGUGGAGUGCAAUCGCACCCCACACGGAUAAAACGACUCUCGGCAAUGGAUAUCUCGGCUCUCGCAUCGAUGAAGAGCGCAGCGAAAUGCGAUACGUGGUGCGAAUUGCAGAAUCCCGCGAACCAUCGAGAAUUUGAACGCAAGUUGCGCCCGAGGCCAUCCGGCCAAGGGCACGUCCGCCUGGGCGUCAAGCGUUACGUCACUCCGUGCCAGCUACAUCCCCACCCUCAGGGUGUGUAUGCGGGAGGGUCGGAUGUGCAGAGUGGCUCGUCGUGGCCGCCCCGCGGGCACGGCGGGCUUAAGAGCGGGUGAUCGUCUCGUUGGACACGAACAACAAGGGGUGGAUGAAAAUUGUGCCUGUGUUGUAUCGUGCUGGCAUGAGAAUAGAUUAUACCCAGCGAAUGAUCCCAGCCCAAGCGUCGGUCCACGGACAUCGGCUUGGAAUGCGACCCCAGGAUGGGCGAGGCCACCCGCUGAGUUUAAGCAUAUCAAUAAGCGGAGGAGAAGAAACUUACAAG
rnacentral:rRNA from 1 species